AGCAGCCGCGGUAAUUCCAGCUCCAAUAGCGUAUAUUAAAGUUGUUGCAGUUAAAAAGCUCGUAGUUGAAUUUCGGAAUCAGUAUGUCGGUCGUGCCUCCGGUAUGUACUGGCGUCACUGGUUCCUCCCUUCUGACGAACCAUCAUGCUAUUAAUUUAGUGUGGUGGGAAAUCAGGACUGUUACUUUGAAAAAAAUUAGAGUGUUUAAAGCAGGCUCACGCUUGAAUACAUUAGCAUGGAAUAAUGAAAUAGGACGUUGAUCCUAUUUUGUUGGUUUCUAGGAUUGACGUAAUGAUUAAUAGGGAUAGUUGGGGGCAUUAGUAUUCAAUUGUCAGAGGUGAAAUUCUUGGAUUUAUUGAAGACUAACUACUGCGAAAGCAUUUGCCAAGGAUGUUUUCAUUAAUCAAGAACGAAAGUUAGGGGAUCGAAGACGAUCAGAUACCGUCGUAGUCUUAACCAUAAACUAUGCCGACUAGGGAUCGGAUGAUGUUAAUUUUUUAAUGACUCAUUCGGUCG
rnacentral:rRNA from 1 species